rnacentral:tRNA from 1 species
AGCAGUGUGGCUUUCUGGAAAGAGCCCGGGCUUGUGAGUCGGAGGUCGUGGGUUCUAAUCCCAGCUCUGCUA